UACGUAGGGUGCGAGCGUUGUCCGGAAUUAUUGGGCGUAAAGAGCUCGUAGGCGGUCUGUCGCGUCGGUCGUGAAAACCUGCAGCUUAACUGUGGGCUUGCGGUCGAUACGGGCAUGACUGGAGUUCGGCAGGGGAGACUGGAAUUCCUGGUGUAGCGGUGAAAUGCGCAGAUAUCAGGAGGAACACCGGUGGCGAAGGCGGUUCUCUGGGCCUGUACUGACGCUGAGGAACGAAAGCGUGGGGAGCGAACAGG
rnacentral:rRNA from 1 species